UACGUGGGGACCAAGCGUUGUUCGGAUUUACUGGGCGUAAAGGGCGCGUAGGCGGCGUGACAAGUCACUUGUGAAAUCUCUGGGCUUAACCCAGAACGGCCAAGUGAAACUGUUGUGCUAGAGUGCAGAAGGGGCAAUCGGAAUUCUCGGUGUAGCGGUGAAAUGCGUAGAUAUCGAGAGGAACACCGGUGGCGAAGGCGGUUCUCUGGGCAUUACCUGACGCUGAGGAGCGAAAGUGUGGGGAGCGAACAGG
rnacentral:rRNA from 1 species